rnacentral:rRNA from 1 species
CAAUAGCGUAUAUUAAAGUUGUUGCAGUUAAAAAGCUCGUAGUUGGAUUUCUGGUAGGAUGACUGUGCCCUCAGUAGAGUGUGCGCUGGCGUCUUGCCAUCCUUCUGUUAACCUUUGGGAGCUUCACCGCUCCCUUUGGGGCUCAGAUAUUUUACCUUGAGAAAAUUAGAGUGUUUCAGGCAGGCUAGCGCCGGAAUACAUUAGCAUGGAAUAAUGGAAUAGGACUUUUGCCUCUUCUGUUGGUCAUGGGGUUCGAGUAAUGAUUAAUAGGGAUAGUUGGGGGCAUUAGUACUUCACUGUCAGAGGUGAAAUUCUCGGAUUUGUGAAAGACUAACUUAUGCGAAANCANNNGCCAAGGAUGUUUUCAUNAA